GACGAACGCUGGCGGCGUGCUUAACACAUGCAAGUCGAACGGAAAGGCCCUGCUUUUGUGGGGUGCUCGAGUGGCGAACGGGUGAGUAACACGUGAGUAACCUGCCCUUGACUUUGGGAUAACUUCAGGAAACUGGGGCUAAUACCGGAUAGGAGCUCCUGCUGCAUGGUGGGGGUUGGAAAGUUUCGGCGGUUGGGGAUGGACUCGCGGCUUAUCAGCUUGUUGGUGGGGUAGUGGCUUACCAAGGCUUUGACGGGUAGCCGGCCUGAGAGGGUGACCGGCCACAUUGGGACUGAGCUACGGCCCAGACUCCUACGGGAGGCAGCAGUGGGGAAUAUUGCACAAUGGGCGGAAGCCUGAUGCAGCAACGCCGCGUGCGGGAUGACGGCCUUCGGGUUGUAAACCGCUUUCGCCUGUAACGAAGCGUGAGUGACGGUAAUGGGUAAAGAAGCACCGGCUAACUACGUG
rnacentral:rRNA from 1 species